rnacentral:rRNA from 1 species
UAAGACUGGGAUAACUCCGGGAAACCGGGGCUAAUACCGGAUGCUUGAUUGAACCGCAUGGUUCAAUCAUAAAAGGUGGCUUUCAGCUACCACUUACAGAUGGACCCGCGGCGCAUUAGCUAGUUGGUGAGGUAACGGCUCACCAAGGCGACGAUGCGUAGCCGACCUGAGAGGGUGAUCGGCCACACUGGGACUGAGACACGGCCCAGACUCCUACGGGAGGCAGCAGUAGGGAAUCUUCCGCAAUGGACGAAAGUCUGACGGAGCAACGCCGCGUGAGUGAUGAAGGUUUUCGGAUCGUAAAACUCUGUUGUUAGGGAAGAACAAGUACCGUUCGAAUAGGGCGGUACCUUGACGGUACCUAACCAGAAAGCCACGGCUAACUACGUGCCAGCAGCCGCGGUAAUACGUAGGUGGCAAGCGUUGUCCGGAAUUAUUGGGCGUAAAGCGCGCGCAGGCGGUUUCUUAAGUCUGAUGUGAAAGCCCCCGGCUCAACCGGGGAGGGUCAUUGGAAACUGGGGAACUUGAGUGCAGAAGAGGAGAGUGGAAUUCCACGUGUAGCGGUGAAAUGCGUAGAGAUGUGGAGGAACACCAGUGGCGAAGGCGACUCUCUGGUCUGUAACUGACGCUGAGGCGCGAAAGCGUGGGGAGCGAACAGGAUUAGAUACCCUGGUAGUCCACGCCGUAAACGAUGAGUGCU